AAAUAAGAUUUCAAUUGAAAACACUGUCAUCUGCUUGGUGAACAAGUGUGACUUAAACUGUAUGAAACUAUUGCGACGAAAUGAAGACAAUUUUGGUGAAACAAGUCAGAAGAACAGUCACUUGGUGAGGUGUAAACUCCUCAUCUGUCCACCAGGGUGUGAAACUGAUCGAGAGACAUCAGUGUAUUCAGAGCUAGGGCUGCAGGUGUGUCGUUAAAUUGCCCAUGCUGCAAAAUGGCCGCAGAGUACCGCAAACUUUGGGAAUUAUAAUGAUCGUUUGGAGAUUAUUUACAUGGUAAUCUUUCACAGCGGCACGACGAGGAAAUUCUUAGUUUCCUUUAAAACACGGACUGAACAAAGAAUUAAAACUGCAAUUACUAAUAUUGCAGUAAUAGAGGAAAAACUAACUUCCGGACAUCUUGAAAAAUUGCAAUCGCCAGCGCCUCACGUAACGUUUCCCGAACCUGACUGCAGAUCGGCGGCAGAAAAUCACCAGUAUGGAGGAAAAUACCCUCAUCGUAAUUGACCCCUUGGGAAAUGGGAAACUCAAUGAAAGAGGAAUUCUUCUUAAUCGGAGAAACUUUCAGAGGAAAAGACGAUCGACUGAGGAAGAAUGGACAGUACAGAAGCUACCAGAACCCCCCUGGACCUCCCCCCACCCACCCAGAAGGACAGUUCCAGUUGUGGAGUCUUAACUUUAACUGUAUUGAUACUGGCUCAUUAUGGGGUAAGUUGUUCUUAUAUUUACUGCUGACUACCCACCUCUGACCAUGUACUUCCCAGAACAGUACCAGGCAGAUGAGAUUGAUAGGAUGAUUUUUAUAGUUUAGCAUUUUUAUGUGUUAAUAAGACUAAAGUCUUGCUUGUUUUUGGUGAUAUUUUGACAUGUUCAGAUAUGAUGGUUUUUGGAGUUUUAGCACAAUACCACGAUAUAGUUUCGCUAUAUAGCAGUAUUUUAUGUUAAAUAUUUUUUAAAUUUACAAUAUUGUCAUAAUUUUUGUGAUAAAAAACAUUUUAUAACCUAAAGAAAAAUAUUAGAAAAAAAAUAGCAAAAAAUCAAUUAAAAGACAUUGCUGGUAGCUUUGUUUACCUAGAGGAGAUCGAACACAUCAUUGAGCAUGAUCUUCUGUUCCUCAUGCUGAUUGGCUCAUGCGUCGUAGCAUCUCUCAGCAUCUCCCCUUGUCUGACAGAUACUCUUGUACUUUGUUCUGCGCAGUUAUGUAUAGGAUGUUGCUGUAAAGUUUGUGCUCUUGUGUUUGGUGAAAGUUGACCCUAAUUUAACGCCCUACUCCUAAAUGCUCUGAUCGUGUUCUCAGGCUUCUGUUCUUAGCCCAAACAAUGACACUGACACAGAUGACAGUUAACAGCCUUUAUUUUUCUUUACAAUAAUGUGCGCUCCUGCGCAUUCCUCUGUUCAUUCUCCUCUCGCCUUGGUCCCAGCUCCUACUACUAUAA